rnacentral:rRNA from 1 species
AUUGAACGCUGGCGGCAGGCCUAACACAUGCAAGUCGAACGAGUGGCGGACGGGUGAGUAAUGUCUGGGAAACUGCCUGAUGGAGGGGGAUAACUACGGGAAACUGUAGCUAAUACCGCGUACCAUAGGAUGAGCCCAAGUGGGAUUGGGUAGUUGGUGGGGUAAAGGCUCACCAAGCCGACGAUCGUUAGCUGGUCUGAGAGGAUGACCAGCCACACUGGUACUGAGACACGGCCCAGACUCCUACGUGAGGCAGCAGUGGGGAAUAUGGCGCAAUGGGGGCAACCUGACGCAGCCAUGCCGCGUGAAUGAAGAAGGCCUUCGGGUUGUAAAGUUCUUUCGGUAGCGAGGCGUUAACUACAGAAGAAGCACCGGCUAACUCCGUGCCAGCAGCCGCGGUAAUUC